rnacentral:rRNA from 1 species
GCACGAAAGCGUGGGGAUCAAACAGGAUUAGAUACCCUGGUAGUCCACGCAGUAAACGAUGAUCACUAGCUGUUUGCGAUACAGUGUAAGCGGCACAGCGAAAGCGUUAAGUGAUCCACCUGGGGAGUACGCCGGCAACGGUGAAACUCAAAGGAAUUGACGGGGGCCCGCACAAGCGGAGGAACAUGUGGUUUAAUUCGAUGAUACGCGAGGAACCUUACCCGGGCUUAAAUUGCAACAGAAUAUAUUGGAAACAGUAUAGCCGUAAGGCUGUUGUGAAGGUGCUGCAUGGUUGUCGUCAGCUCGUGCCGUGAGGUGUCGGCUUAAGUGCCAUAACGAGCGCAACCCUUAUCUUUAGUUACUAACAGGUCAUGCUGAGGACUCUAGAGAGACUGCCGUCGUAAGAUGUGAGGAAGGUGGGGAUGACGUCAAAUCAGCACGGCCCUUACGUCCGGGGCUACACACGUGUUACAAUGGGGGGUACAGAAGGCAGCUACCUGGCGACAGGAUGCUAAUCCCAAAAACCUCUCUCAGUUCGGAUCGAAGUCUGCAACCCGACUUCGUGAAGCUGGAUUCGCUAGUAAUCGCGCAUCAGCCAUGGCGCGGUGAAUACGUUCCCGGGCCUUGUACACACCGCCCGUCAAGCCAUGGGAGCCGGGGGUACCUGAAGUACGUAACCGCAAGGAUCGUCCUAGGGUAAAACUGGUGACUGGGGCUAAGUCGUAACAAGGUAGCCGUACCGGAA